UCUUAUGGAUGAGCAAAGAAAGUGGUUUCUUGAGAUGGAAUCUAGCCUGGGGAAGAUACUGUGAA
rnacentral:pre_miRNA from 1 species